rnacentral:misc_RNA from 1 species
AAGUCGUAACAAGGUUUCCGUAGGUGAACCUGCGGAAGGAUCAUUACCGAGUUCAUGCCCCUUGGGGUAGAUCUCCCACCCUGCUUAUCUUACUUGCGUUGCUUUGGCGGGUCGACCGCUCAGGCCGCUGGCAAUUCGCUGGUGCGCGCCCGCCAAAGGCCCCAAAACCCUGAUGGUCAACGUGGCGUCCGAGUAGUACACAAAUAGUUAAAACUUUCAACAACGGAUCUCUUGGUUCUG